rnacentral:rRNA from 1 species
UACGAAGGGGGCUAGCGUUGCUCGGAAUUACUGGGCGUAAAGCGCACGUAGGCGGGUUGUUAAGUCGGGGGUGAAAUCCUGGAGCUCAACUCCAGAACUGCCUUCGAAACUGGCGAUCUUGAGUCCGGGAGAGGUGAGUGGAACUGCGAGUGUAGAGGUGAAAUUCGUAGAUAUUCGCAAGAACACCAGUGGCGAAGGCGGCUCACUGGCCCGGUACUGACGCUGAGGUGCGAAAGCGUGGGGAGCAAACAGG